rnacentral:rRNA from 1 species
AUAUCAAUAAGCCCAGGAAGAGAAACCAACAGGGAUUCCCACAGUAGCGGCGAGCGAAGCGGGAAGAGCUCAAUUUUGAAAUCUGACGUGGAUGCCCACGUCCGAGUUGUAAGUUCUAGAGACGUCGUCGGCCUGGGCCCCAGUCGGAGUCCCUUGGAAUAGGGCGCCACGGAGGGUGAAAGCCCCUUGAGCGGCCGGGAGUCCUGGGCCAUGUGUCGCGUCCUCGAAGAGUCGGGUUGUUUGGGAAUGCAGCUCAAAGCGGGUGGUAAAUUUCACCUAAAGCUAAAUAUUGGCGAGAGACCGAUAGCGAACAAGUAGAGUGAUCGAAAGAUGAAAAGUACUUUGGAAAGAGAGUGAAACAGCGCGUGAAAUUGUUGAAAGGGAAGCGUUUGGCUUCAGCCCCUUGGCCUCCGGGGUUCUGCUUGGGUUCUCCCUUGCCUACUCCCCGGCGGCUGGGCCAGCGUCGGUUGGGGCUUUCGGACAAAGGCCCGGGGAACGUGGCCGACCUCGGUCGGUGUUACAGCCCCGGGCGCAAUACGGUCGCCCCGACCGAGGACCGCGGCUUAUGCCAAGGACGCUGGCGUAAUGGAGUCAAGUGU